UACGUAGGUCCCGAGCGUUAUCCGGAUUUAUUGGGCGUAAAGCGAGCGCAGGCGGUUUGAUAAGUCUGAAGUUAAAGGCUGUGGCUCAACCAUAGUAUGCUUUGGAAACUGUUCAACUUGAGUGCAGAAGGGGAGAGUGGAAUUCCAUGUGUAGCGGUGGAAUGCGUAGAUAUAUGGAGGAACACCGGUGGCGAAAGCGGCUCUCUGGUCUGUAACUGACGCUGAGGCUCGAAAGCGUGGGUAGCGAACAGG
rnacentral:rRNA from 1 species